rnacentral:rRNA from 1 species
UACGUAGGGACCGAGCGUUGUCCGGAAUCAUUGGGCGUAAAGAGCGUGUAGGCGGCUAUUUAAGUCCUGCGUGAAAUCCUGCGGCUCAACCGCAGACGGUCGUGGGAAACUGGAUGGCUAGAGUGCGGGAGAGGAGAGUGGAAUUCCCGGUGUAGCGGUGAAAUGCGUAGAUAUUGGGAGGAACACCAGUGGCGAAGGCGGCUCACUGGACCGGAACUGACGCUGAGGCGCGAAAGCGUGGGGAGCAAACGGG